CCCUUUGCUGUAUCUACAUUUUCCCACAUUUAAUGCAGGGAUCAGUUAAUGGAGUGGCAGACUUAAAACAGAUGUGUUGAUGUCAUUAUUAGCGUUUAUCACUGAUGAAUUUACUUGAUUAUAUUUACAUUUAAAUCCUUUCAGUGUUUCUCUAAAUGCAGUUACAGUGAAUGAAGUUGUAAAAAACAAACUGCAUUGUUUUAAUUUCCAAAAUAAUGAGCUGCUGUACCAUUUGUUGUUUCCAUGCCCUCCCUCCCAUUUGGGUGCCACUGGUCUCUCCCUCUCCUCUCCACCUCUCCUCUCUCUGUCUCUCCUCCAGUGGGUGUGGUGCGGCCCAGCCUGACCAUCCUCCCCCCCUCCAGAGGGGAGCUGCAGCAGGGCAAAGCCACACUGCUGUGUCUGGCCAACGGGGGCUUCCCCUCAGCCUGGAGGCUGAGCUGGAAGGUGGGGGGCAGCAGCAGCUCCUCAGGGGUGUCAGACAGCCUGGAGGUCCUGGGGAGGGACGGCCACUACAGCUGGAGCAGCACCCUGAGCCUCUCUGCAGACCAGUGGAGGAAGGCAGGCUCCGUGAGCUGUGAGGCCAGUCUGAAUGGCCAGAGCCCUGUCACUCAAACCCUGGACCCUGACCGCUGCUCCCAGUAGAGCUUCAGCAACGCUUCUUAUCCAAAUGCUGCUUCUUUGCUUCAACUGAUUUCACUUAGCUUCAGUGUGUGAAUGUCACUUUUAUAUAGUUAAACAAAAAUACAUCAAUUUCAU